rnacentral:rRNA from 1 species
CGAAAGCCUGACGGAGCAAGACCGCGUGGGGGAAGAAGGCUCUUGGGUUGUAAACCCCUUUUCUCUGGGAAGAAAGUUGUGAAAGCAACCUGACGGUACCAGAGGAAUCAGCAUCGGCUAACUCCGUGCCAGCAGCCGCGGUAAGACGGAGGAUGCAAGCGUUAUCCGGAAUGAUUGGGCGUAAAGCGUCCGCAGGUGGCAGUUCAAGUCUGCUGUCAAAGACCGGGGCUUAACUUCGGAAAGGCAGUGGAAACUGAACAGCUAGAGUAUGGUAGGGGCAGAGGGAAUUCCUGGUGUAGCGGUGAAAUGCGUAGAGAUCAGGAAGAACAUCGGUGGCGAAGGCGCUCUGCUGGACCAUAACUGACACUCAGGGACGAAAGCUAGGGGAGC